CCCGCGCGCCCGUUAUUCGGGCGUUUCCUCCCUAGACUUCGGACCGCCUCCGGGCGUGCCGUUUUUCCGCCACAU
rnacentral:sRNA from 1 species